GACGAACGCUGGCGGCGUGCCUAAUACAUGCAAGUAGAACGCUGAAGGAGGAGCUUGCUUCUCUGGAUGAGUUGCGAACGGGUGAGUAACGCGUAGGUAACCUGCCUGUUAGCGGGGGAUAACUAUUGGAAACGAUAGCUAAUACCGCAUAAGAGUAGAUGUUGCAUGACAUUUGCUUAAAAGGUGCAAUUGCAUCACUACCAGAUGGACCUGCGUUGUAUUAGCUAGUUGGUGGGGUAACGGCUCACCAAGGCGACGAUACAUAGCCGACCUGAGAGGGGGAUCGGCCACACUGGGACUGAGACACGGCACAGACUCCUACGGGAGGGAGCAGUAGGGAAUCGUCGGGAAUGGACGGAAGUCUGACCGAGCAACGCCGAGUGAGUGAAGAAGGUUUUCGGAUCGUAAAGCUCUGUUGUAAGAGAAGAACGAGUGUGAGAGUGGAAAGUUCACACUGUGACGGUAUCUUACCAGAAAGGGACGGCUAACUACGUG
rnacentral:rRNA from 1 species